GCAAACGCGAUGAGAAAGCUUAGUACCGUAAUGAUAAUUGUGAAGCGAGCUUCGUUAGGUGAGAGGAAGCACAAUUGAUUUAUGGGAAUAUCCCUUUCGAGCGAUGCACCAAAACAAAAGUAACGUGCAUUGGUGGCACCCAUUAUAGUGCUGGCGUAUCGCCCAUAGUGGCCGUACGCGAGAGGUGACAUUAGUGAUAGUGUCAUGAAUUAAGGUGGUACCGUGCAGGUAGAAGCACCCUUAGU
rnacentral:ncRNA from 1 species